GUGCGGGCCACCUUGUUUGUUCUAUUCUGAUGUUUGUUUUUUUUUUUUUUUUUUUUUUUUUACUUUUCUGUUCGACAAUUGCCGAUCAGGCACACGCGAAAAGAAUGUUCGUCCGGCGUACCCGCGUAUACAUCGUAUAUACCUAUAUUUGGGUUGAGGUCGAACGCGUUCAAGCCGAAAAAGCACACACGCACAUUGCGAAUUCCGACGUGUUCUUGUACGGGCCGAAUAUAUUAUGAUUUAUUGUUCAAGGAGAGGCGCACAAAAGUUCAAAACCUUUCAAACGCCGUCGUACCAGUGAUGUGCGCACGAUGCUUUUCGUUAACUUUGAUGUACCUAUAAUACGACGGACAAAAUUAUUACUUUCGAAAAAUAACGCAAAAAUU